GGUGACGCGAGCGCGGGGAGGCGCUGUGGCGACUGGAGAACGGCAUCUGGAUAGAGAGUCGAGGUUAGACUUGAGUGUCGCCCAGCCCUCCACGGUUUGUCCCCUACAGCAGCGGGGCAGAACGCUGCCCGGUUUAUCCGCGUCUUUUGGAGCCCAACACUGGCUCCCCGGAAGUCCCAAGCCUCCCCUUCAGGAUUUAGUCCUUGCUCGUUUUCUCCCCUAAUUCCUGGGACCCUCUUCCAGAUGUAAACUGUUUUCUGUAUUAAUUUCGUGUCUCAUCUUGGCCCAGCACCCUUUUUUGGCAAAUGUGAGACCCGAGAUCCAAAAAGCGGAAAGGAUUUUCUAAGGCUACAUGGCAAGUUGGAACCGGCUGAGAACUCCGGGGGCAGGGGGCGGGGUCGGGGGAAAGGAGGAAGGACUUCAUUAGCUCUCAGAAUAUCUGAGUAUACAUCUACUGUGUCCUCAGCAUGUGCUAGGACAGUGGUUCACAACGUGUGUGUCUGGACCACCAGCAGCCACAUCACGUAGGAACUUGACUAGACAUGAAGAUUCUCAGAUCCCAUCCCAGAACCACCAAAUCAGAAAUUGUUGGGAGUGCGGCCCAUAAUCAGCAUUUUGAUUCCCUGGGGGCACGCAGUGAUGGAGACAAACUGAUCAUUCAUUCUGUAAUAGAAUGUUGGAAGAAUACCUAGCCCAAGAUCCAAGACAGAAUAGUCCAAAGGAUUUUCUACAUAUGUGAUCAUAUCAUCUGUAAAUAGGUAACUUUAUUUUUGCAAGAAAAGUUUUAUAUGUAGUAUUAUAUUGUGAAGCUCUUAUCUUAACUGAGACUCAUUAAGUUUGUGAUUAUAUGGGGGCGGGGUGUCACAGAAAGUUAUAUUUAGAGGGUCCUUAGAUCCAGCCCAGCCUCAGUGUCACACAGCAAGUUAGAGGUUCAGUAGGAUCCGAAACCUGAUCUGUGUUCCUCCUCUUAGCUUUCUAGGAGCAGACAAAGCCAAGCUGGGAGCUAUCAUGGAGAACCCUUGCCUAGAGGAUAUUUAUGGGGCUGAGACUUGAUCUCUUUGUGCUUUCACCCAAGGCUCUCCUUAUCUUAGGAAGUGGGGAGUCUGGCUGAAUCCCAGUGCAUCCAUCUGGUUAAAAUAAACAUGCUGGGUGGUCUAAGAUGGAAAAGAACUUGAUGAAGAGUCAGAUCUGGAAGUGGGAGAGAGAUUUGGAAGUAGGACAGAUUUUGCCUUUGUGAGGUUGGAACUUUCUAAGCACCAGUUAAACACAUGAUCUCAGGCUUGGGGCCGAGUAUGUCCUCUCAGCUGAAUGCCUCUAUGCCACUGCCAGCUGCUUGUAGGAGAGUUUGGAGGGGAAAGUGUGCUCAGAGGGGUAAGACUGAGGGCCCUAGACAGACACAGAUGGAGUCACAGAAAUCAAGAGUCCUGUGGGGAAAAAUCCAUAAGCCAUGGAAAGCGCACUCGUUGUGAAGUAGAGGUCUGAGUUUGUAUCCAGGUCCUCUUUUUGCCUAUGAUAAAUGUUUUACUAGUACUUAACGGGGUUCUUACUAGGUUCCAGCUUUGCUAAAUGUUUUACAUGUUUUCCUCCAAAAGCUGGCUGGGCUCUUAACCACUAUACUGAACUCCUCUCCUUUAUCUUUAAAAUUUUCUGCAGUAAAUGUGGGUUAUUUAUAUAAUUAAAAUGACAAUCUUAGGAAGGCUACACUUCACCUUCAUGCCACCAUAGACUCCUGGGAGCUGAGGGGAAGUCAAAUGGUUUGGCAGGGGGUAAACUGCUUGGUGGUACCCUUCUUCCUCUCAUCUUAAAGCUUUGAAAGAUAAGGUGUUGUCUUAACCUCGAACCUUCCUUGGGAUAAGUCAGUGUCCUGAUCAGGUCCUUUGAGCAAUAGCGUGAGAAUCUUCUGUGGUGUAAGUGAAGAGUGCAGAUUCCUGGACUCUCUGGGGGUGAGGUCUGGGAAUUUGGAUUUUUGGAAGCUCUCCUGAUGAUUCUGAUACAUAUUAAAGCUUGAGAACUACUUCUCUGGGUAAUUCCUUCCAGUUCUGCCUCUUAACAGCUGUGUGGUAUGGGGCAAGUUAUUGUCAUAGUUCCGUUUUACUCUCAGCCCUCUACUGAGAGGCCAGGUAAUAACAAUAUAUAAUAAUAGUAACAUGGAAUAUCCUAUUUCAUCCUCCUAAGAGGUGAAUAUUACUAAGCCCAUUUUAUUGAUGAGGACUCUGAAGUUUGGAGUGGUAAAUUGACUUGUCUGGGAUCAUGACAGCUCAUUAGGUGACAGAGCCAGAAUCUGAAUGCAAGCUUAGAUUAUAGAGAAGUGCUUUGGAAACCAGUAACAUUGGUAGCAUUGGUGAUUAUUAUUUCCACAUUCCUGAGUUCCCUUCUCUGCAGCUGCAGUGGCUAACAUACCAAGCUUACAGCACACCAAGACAGGCUGAGCCUCUCCCCUCUGGGAGUUUUUCUCAUUAGCAGUUUCUAAACUAGAGUGUAGUUUUUAUUUCCUUUUUUUUUUUUAAUUGUUAUUAUUUUUUUAGUAAUCUCUACCCCCAACAUGGGGCUAGAGCUCAUGACCCUGAGAUCAAGAGUUGCAUGCUCCAUUGGCUGAGCCAGCCAGGCGCCCCGCAGUGUACUUUUUAAAUCCAGAGUCGAGUCCAGC